rnacentral:rRNA from 1 species
CCUACGGGACGCAGCAGUGGGGAAUAUUGCACAAUGGGGGAAACCCUGAUGCAGCGACGCCGCGUGAGUGAAGAAGUAUCUCGGUACGUAAAGCUCUAUCAGCAGGGAAGAAAAAAAGUCUUUGGCUUUGGACGGUACCUGACUAAGAAGCCCCGGCUAAAUACGUGCCAGCAGCCGCGGUAAUACGUAUGGGGCAAGCGUUAUCCGGAUUUACUGGGUGUAAAGGGAGCGUAGGCGGCCUGGCAAGCCUGAUGUGAAAUACCGGGGCCCAACCCCGGGGCUGCAUUGGGAACUGCCAGGCUGGG